GACGAACGCUGGCGGCGUGCUUAACACAUGCAAGUCGUACGGUAAGGCCCUUCGGGGGUACACGAGUGGCGAACGGGUGAGUAACACGUGAGUAACCUGCCCACAACUUUGGGAUAAAGCUAGGAAACUGGUGCUAAUACUGGAUAUGUGCUCCUGCUGCAUGGUGGGGGUUGGAAAGCUCCGGCGGUUGUGGAUGGACUCGCGGCCUAUCAGCUUGUUGGUGGGGUAGUGGCCUACCAAGGCGGCGACGGGUAGCCGGCCUGAGAGGGUGACCGGCCACAUUGGGACUGAGAUACGGCCCAGACUCCUACGGGAGGCAGCAGUGGGGAAUAUUGCACAAUGGGCGCAAGCCUGAUGCAGCAACGCCGCGUGCGGGAUGACGGCCUUCGGGUUGUAAACCGCUUUCAGCAGGGACGAAGCUUUUUGUGACGGUACCUGCAGAAGAAGCACCGGCUAACUACGUG
rnacentral:rRNA from 1 species